rnacentral:misc_RNA from 1 species
UCUCCGUUGGUGAACCAGCGGAGGGAUCAUUACAGAGCUGCAAAACUCCCAAACCGUUGUGAACGUUACCUAUCCCGUUGCUUCGGCGGGCGGCCCGGGCCCCGCGCCCGGCGCCCCCCCGGCCCCCCAUGGGCGCCCGCCGGAGGUAAACCAAACCCUUGAAUUGCAUGGCCUCUCUGAGUCUUCUGUACUGAAUAAGUCAAAACUUUCAACAACGGAUCUCUUGGUUCUG